CUAUAAUAGAACAAUCUUUUCAAUGUAAAAGAAAAAUUUUUAAUAAACUAUAUUUUA
rnacentral:tRNA from 1 species